rnacentral:rRNA from 1 species
AGCGAACGCUGGCGGCAGGCCUAACACAUGCAAGUCGAACGAAGUCUUCGGACUUAGUGGCGGACGGGUGAGUAACACGUGGGAACGUACCUUUUGGUUCGGAACAAGUCAGGGAAACUUGAGCUAAUACCGGAUGAGCCCUUAGGGGGAAAGAUUUAUCGCCGAAAGAGCGGCCCGCGUUAGAUUAGCUAGUUGGUGAGGUCAAGGCUCACCAAGGAUAAGAUCUAUAGCUGGUCUGAGAGGAUGAUCAGCCACACUGGGACUGAGACACGGCCCAGGCUGCUGCGGGAAGCAGCAGUGAGUAAUCUUGCGCAAUGGGCGAAAGCCUAGCGCAGCCGUGCCGCGUGAAUGAUGAAGUUCUUAGGAUUGUAAAAUUCUUUUACCAGGGACGAUAACGACGGUACCUGGAGAAAAAGCCCCGGCUAACGUCGUGCCAGCCGCCGCAGUAAAAC